GACGAACGCUGGCGGCGUGCUUAACACAUGCAAGUCGAACGAAGCGGCGAACGGGUGAGUAACACGUAAAGAACCUGCCUUAUAGACUGGGACAACUAUUGGAAACGAUAGCUAAUACCGGAUACUAUGAGAUGGCUUUGCGGUGCAUUAGCUAGUUGGUGGGGUAAAGGCCUACCAAGGCGACGAUGCAUAGCCGACCUGAGAGGGUGAUCGGCCACACUGGGACGGAGACACGGCCCAGACUCCUACGGGAGGCAGCAGUAGGGAAUCUUCCGCAAUGGGCGAAAGCCUGACGGAGCAACGCCGCGUGAGUGAAGAAGGAUUUCGGUUCGUAAAGCUCUGUUGUUAGGGAAGCGGUACCUAACCAGAAAGCCACGGCUAACUACGUGCCAGCAGCCGCGGUAAUAC
rnacentral:rRNA from 1 species